GUUUCCGUGGUCUAGCGGGUAUCACGUCUGCCUUACACGCAGAAGAUGCCCGGUUCGAUUCCGGGCGGAAACA